GAUGAACGCUGGCGGCGUGCCUAAUACAUGCAAGUCGAGCGAACAGAUGAGGAGCUUGCUCCUCUGACGUUAGCGGCGGACGGGUGAGUAACACGUGGAUAACCUACCUAUAAGACUGGGAUAACUUCGGGAAACCGGAGCUAAUACCGGAUAAUAUAUUGAACCGCAUGGUUCAAUAGUGAAAGACGGUUUUGCUGUCACUUAUAGAUGGAUCCGCGCCGCAUUAGCUAGUUGGUAAGGUAACGGCUUACCAAGGCAACGAUGCGUAGCCGACCUGAGAGGGGGAACGGCCCCCCAGGAAAUGAACCCCGGCCCAGCCUCCUAGGGGAGGAAGCAGUAGGGAAUCUUCCCCAAUGGGCGAAAGCCUGACGGAGCAACGCCGGGGGAGUGAUGAAGGUCUUCGGAUCGUAAAACUCUGUUAUUAGGGAAGAAAAAAUUUGUAAGUAACUAUGCCCGUCUUGACGGUACCUAAUCAGAAAGCCGCGGCUAACUACGU
rnacentral:rRNA from 1 species